AGGGGUUUAGGGAUUAAGGUUACAAGAGUGUCCUAGAGAUUUUUGAUCCUAAAUUUCUCUCAAUAUAUCACUUUUUUUUUCGUUUUGAAUUUUUUCCAAGGCUUACAUUAUCUUAAAGCCUUCUAUAAAUAUUUUUAUUUUCCAAAAAUAUGUGUUCUUUUUAGAUUUUUGGAUUUAAAAAUCGGAACUAGGGUCUAGGUUUAGGGUUUAGGGUUUAGGAUUUAAUUAGGAUCUACAGACCUUAAUUAAGGAUCUAAAUUUUAAAAGAUGUGAGAUUCAUGCAUAGAGUUGAUAGAGACAUAUCUCAAAUGGCUAAGUGGAAUUUUCAUGAAAUUGACGUGGGACUAGAAUCUCAUGCUUUUUGUGCACACACACCGUCCUUCCACCACAAACCGAAUGUGACUCUCAUGUCCACUUCGGCCCUAGCAGAGUAUAGGAUCCACAAAAACAUCAUGUACCUGAACAAAUAUUGGAGGUAUAAUAUAUGAUCAGGAUGGACUCCUUCUUCGUGACUUCUCAACAACCGGUUCCGAAGUAGCACAAAAAUCAGGCAGGGCAAUGCUUAUAGUUGGGAGCAUCCUGAGAACACCACAUCCAACCUGCUGUGAAUGUUGGGUUGUUUGCAUUCGAUAAGCUUGCAGUAGUCGUCGUAUUGUACCAUGAGAAUCAUCAGCAAAUCAUGUAGGAGGGCGUGUACUUCCUUCACACUCUCAUCCAAAGAUGCUCGAAUGAUUUGUCAUUUGGCAGAGUGGGAUGGACAAGUAACUUUUACAUAUCGCCAAAGAUUUUACAAAAUUGUAUUUGUUUUAUUAGACUUCAUGAAUCACAAAAAACAAGAUCAUAGUUACAACAAAAAGUACGCUAGUUUACAUUUGCAUGACUUGGAACCUUUCAGAGUAACUUCUGUAUUAGGACGACUAUCAAGGACAAAGACUCGAUGAGGGAAAAUAUACACCAAAAGGCUAUCUCGAUAUAAUAAGUCAAAAUAUAAACAAGUAGGUAUAUUAAAAGGAAACUGGAAUGGCUAUUGCCACAAGACAAGAAACUAAAGACUCUUGAACCUAGUCUAGAAGCAAGAAAGGAGUUGACAAGAGUGAAGAAGCCUUCACUCUUGUCUCUAUAUAUACUAUCUAACUAGAGGCUAUGUGGCGACGUUCUAUAGGACCUCCAAUAUGUGUUGACUUUGUAGGACACAUGCCUUGACUUACAAGGCAAGUUUUUCUACGUGUGGGCCACAUAGUUAGCUUGAUCUUCAAGCUAACAACAUGUGUGGCACAUGGCCAACUUGUUGACCACAUUUCUAAUCCAAAAAGUCAAUUAAAGACACCUAUGAAGUCAAAGCAGCGUCUAGGAAGUUUCUAGGAAGCUUCUAUAUUAAAUAUUAUAGAAUUAACUUACUUUUAUCUACUUUUACUUAUUUCUACCUAUUUCUAUAUGUAAUUAUUAGCUUACAUGAUUAUGGCCGUGACAACGACUAAGAUAACCUCGAUGUUUGUACUCUCGUACAACUCUAUAAAAUUAGCAGCUACAUCUAUUUGCAAGGUGCGCAACCAAAUGCACCUCUUCACGAUAUAAGCUUGACUACAACCACAUGAAAGCACCACAUGUAAUAGAAAUAUCGAUGAUUUGUAAUAUGCAAUAAGUUAUGCUUCAUCUUUGGAGUUCAAGGUCGACGCCGCCAAGAUGGAUCCUACUGAUGAUCCCGUCUGGCCUCAUCUUGGAUCAAAGUCCGCAUCUACCACCAUCGUGAGUCUAACCGACAAGGUAGACGUCGAUACGACCUGCUUCAUGGUAGCCCUUUGUAACCUUUGUAGUCUAGUGAGAGAAGUCAUGCAUCUGGCAAAUCGUAAAGUCAACCUAAGUAAACCUGGGAUCCUUCAAGAAAUAGGUGCUUGUGAGUUCUGAUCUUGUUGUCAUGAAAGUGAACCCCCCGUUAUCCCUCUCUGGAUUCAAAAUACAGUCCCUCCCUCUUCGAUACCCUAUUCCCUUAAUGCUCUAUCCACUAUAUUACUCUAUCCCGUCGAUAUUUAGCCUGCUCAAUUCCUUCGUCCUGAAUGGCUUAUAAAUACUAUGCCCCCUCAAUACCUUGCCUAGGAUCUUAGGAUCUUAGGGUUUAGGAUUCUAGGAUCUUAGGAUUGUAGGAUUUAAGAUUCUAGGGUUCCAGGGUCUUAGAGUCUCGAGCAAGUUUAGGGUUUAGGAGUUAUGAGGUUUUCAAAAUCGCAAAAGUUGUCUUUCAUCAAUACAUAAAGAAACAAAAAAAUUAAAUUAAAUUAAAUAUAUAAUAAAUAUAUAGAGGCACCUAAAUAUAAUACCAAUAUAUUAAAUAGCAUAUGUACGUUGUCGUGUUGUAACACGAGUAUACAGUGAAAAUAAAAAGAAAGGGGAAUUUUAUUAAUAUUCAGUUACCUUGAAUAUUGGGAGCAUCGACCAACUCCAGUACAAAUACUGAGUGGUCAGGUUCACUGACUCCGUUACAGUCAACCGGGGCAUACUGAAAUGCCCCGUUCGAUUCCAAUAACGGGAGUCAGCAGGAAGAGAAGGACCAAUUCACACGACGGGUUCGAGGAGCCAAUUGGAUCCAAUUUCGAUAAUCCAAUCCGGGUCCUCUUACCCAAUAUGAGACCUGUAUUGGUGGGGCAACCCAAUGCAGUCUAGUUACGGAAAAUCCAGGUCUUACUACGGGUCUUAGCCAAUCUAACGCGAGGACCAAUUUGACCCAGUUACGGGAAAUCCAGGUCUUACUACGGGUCUUAGCCAAUCUGACGCGAGGACCAAUUUGACCCAAUUACGGGAACAUCCAGGUUACUACGGGCAUCUUUCCCAAUAUAGGACCUGAAUUGGUCGGGCGACUCAAUGUGGUCCCGAUUACGGGGUUCGAUUCUGUUUCAGGCUGUCCUGUUCUCUGUGCAGUUUCAGAGAACGUUGUUUUCGGUAAAUGGAUUUCUUAAAGGUAAAAACGGAGGAGAGAGCUUGACGGCGAGAGCCAAUUUUGGAUCCAAGCUUGAGGUGGGAGCCAAUUCCGGAUCUAAGACGGAAGAUUGAAGAAAUUCAGAGGAUAAGGUUAGGGGGGAUAUAGUUUUGAGGGGGUUUUUUUUGAGGGGAAUCGAGGGGGGAGCUAGUUUUCAAGCUUUUGAAAGGUUACCAGUUCGAUUUUCAUUGGAGGUUUUUUUGAAGAUCAAAGGAAUUAGAGAGAGGAGCUUCAUGCUUCGGGUCGAGGAAGGAAAGACAGAGAAUUUGGAUUUUUCUUCUUCGUGGAGUUUUGGGAAGACUGAGGCACUCGCUGCUGAAGUUAGUAUUGUAAUGGUGAAUCGGGAUUUUUAAAUGAAGUGGGUUUGAAUACUCUUGACUGUUUUGUGAAAUCGAGUUUCGUCUGUGAUUGAAGGAUUAAAAGGGUGUCUAUAGGAUUGAGUAUGCGGAGUGAAUGAAAUUUAUUGGAUUAAUCUAACAAGAUAGUUAGUGGAUACAAGAUCGUAAGUAUAAAGCAGUAUUGAAGGUUAACAGUUUGGGUUGUACGAGGUUCUCUGUAACGUCUAGAGACCUACCGGCUGGGGCAAAAAGGACUUCGACAAGCAGCCGAAGAGCACCCGUAUAGAUUUACGAUACAUUGUUGCAGUCGUUUAUAUUCCAGCAGUCAAAAACUGAUAGACUGCUUGACUAUCGGCGAAUUUCCAUACUACCUUCUACAACCAGACGCCCGGCGCGUUCUCGAGCAGGAAAGCACGUAAUACGACAUAAGUGGUGAACCCGACGUGAAAGCUUGAGGUAGAAGGUAUUGGAUUUCGGUUGAUUUUAUCUUUAUUUUUAUGGAAAAUGAAAAUAAAAAUUUUGAAGGAUUUUUGGGAGAAGUUUCUGGUGGGGAGUCUUCUAAAGGACAAGGUAUGCACAUGGAUCCGUCUAUUGCUAGUUUGUUUCAAGCCUUCUCAUUGUCAAUGCAGCAACAGCAAAGCAAUGAUCGAAAGGAAGCUUUGGCAACCAAAGCAUUGCAAGCAGUGGUCAAUAAAAUUGAUCAAUUUGAUGGGAGGAAUAUUUCAAGGUAUUUAAGAUGUUAUGUUCGUGAAAUGGAAUUAAAUCGGGUUUCUGAGAAGAAAAUGGUUGCACUAUUUGGACUUUCCACGAUACCGGAGAUAAAAAACCACAUUACAUCGAUUACGGAUCAUUGUGGGAAUUCAUGGGAGGAUUUUUCACAUGCAUUGAAAGACGAAUAUUUCUUGGAAGAUGCUGAUCGCGUUACUAAGAAGCUGUUUCUGGGAUGGAUUGAACGGCCCAAUAAGAAUUUGCAAGCAACAGAGCUACUAAGGGAAUUUGAGAGGCAGUACUCUCAAUUAUCGAAGGUAGAAAAAUUGACAUUGGAGCCGAACAAAGUUGAUCUAUUUCUUCAAGCUGGUCAUAGAGAAUUGCAAGAGAAAUUAGAACCCCUUCUUGAAGACAAAGAAGAAGAUGAAGGAUUGACAACGAAGUGGAAGAACGUUGAAGAUGCGGUGGGGUUGCUUACAAAAAAAGAAAGGAGGAAGGAUAGGAGUAAUAUUCCGAAACCAGUACAAGCACCCAAAGCUCCAGUACGUACUAUACCAUCGACAAUGCCUACAGUUCAACCUUCGACAUCCUUGUCAAAGAAAGCAGAUAUGGGUAUGGAAGAAAUUAUACGAGGAAUGCGAGAUCUUCAAAUCAAAUUGGCAAGACUUGAAGAGAAUACUUCUAUAAACAAUUUGAAGAAUGUUUCAAAACAAGGAUAUGUACAAAGAUGCAUUUGGUGUGAUGAUGCUUCACACACUAGAAAAGAUUGCAAUGAAUUUAAUAAUAUGAUACGGCAGGGAAUUAUUUGAUGGAAAGAUGGGAAGAUAGCAUUGAAAGAUAGGGAGGAUCUUCUUCAAACCAAUUUUGGCAAGGGAGGAAUGAGAGCAUUGGUUCAAGAUUACUUAAAAGGGCAUAAAACAGUAGCACGAGAAAGUGCAAGUUAUGGUGCUAGAGUAGAUGAUGAAAUUGGUGGAAGUACGGAAAUUAGUGAGUUUUGGGCUUGUGCCGUUUCUACAAUGCAAGAAGGGAAAUUACCUCGAGAAGCGUUAUUGAGAACUGCAGCUACAAUACGAGAAAGAACAGGUUGGGAGGAUCCCGUUGAGUCUCUUUCAGUUCAUGCAUAUAUUGCUAAGAGCCAACAUGAAGCUUUGAUGGAAGAAAAAAGACGAGGAAAUUUUGAUGAUACUAGAGAAGGAAAUUCUUUUAAGAGGCAAACUCGAGGAGACAAGGCUCGGGAGGCAGCUUCACAAGAAUUGCCUGUAAAGGAUACCUCAGCAUCAUUGGGAGAAAAAACAACGGAGACAAAAGAUAACGGCAAAUCAAUUGCUUAUAAGCUACUUUCUGACAUUGAAGCGGCAACAAAUUUGAAAGGGGUGUUGGAAGAACGUAUAUUAAAUGCUAAGGUGGAAUUCACAUUGAAAGAAGUCUUGGGAAUUACAAAGAAGGAGUUUCAUGAUGUUAUCAUUGACAGCAUUAAGCGAAAGAGGCAAUUAAUGAUCGAAACUGGAAUGAGUCAUGCUAUUGAUGCAAGAAUAUGUAGAGAUGAAGAAGAGGUUGAUAUUGGUUACAAGCAACCACCAAAUGAAAAGAAUGGGUAUAAUCAGCGAGUACAUUUCGAAGAUUCUAGUGACAAGGAAAUGGAAACUUUGAGCCAUUAUACUCGAAAGCAUUGGGCAAGGGCAACUACUGAGGUAUUGGUGAAGGUAGGAGAUAUAGAAGAACCAAUAGUUGCUUUGGUGGACCAUGGUUCUGAAAUAAAUCUCAUGUCUAAAGAUCUUUAUAAGAAGCAAAAAUGGCCAAUUGAUAUGGAACAUGGAUGGGCAAUACGAGCAGCUAAUAACACACGAGGCGAAUUAUAUGGAGCUUAUCCAGAUGUCAAAAUUCGGAUUGGAGAUGUUGCGACGGAGCAACAUUUCUUCGUUCAAGAUACAACGUCUUAUCCGUUGAUUUUAGGACAACCUUAUAUCACGGCAACACGGAUGGAAACAAAGGUACUUGACGAUGGUUCUGCUUAUGCAAGAAUACGGAGCGAAGAUGGGAGGAAAGCUGUACAAUUUCUAACAGUACCUCCUAACCAUGAACGGAAUCGAGAUAGGUUGAGGAAAAAACCAUUGCCAAAGAUUGUUGAAGGAUUUAAGGAUUUUGGGGAGGUACCACUGUAAAGCGAGAUUAUGGAGGUACAAAAGAGGAGGUACUCUCGCGAGAUGAAGGUGCCUUUGAUGCGAGUUUUAUUGGUAUAUUGGAGAAUGGAAAUAUUAUGUAUAAGAAAGUUGAAGAUUUUAAAAGAAAAGAAAGAAAAAGAUUAUAUGAUAUUGAAGGACAGUUACGCAAGAUAGGUACAUUGCAAGAUGAUGAGAGGAUUUUGGGUGUUUAUGAAGAAAAUGGGCUGGAAGAUUCAUUGGAAUUGAUUACAUCUAUUGGGUUAGGGGAUAAUGAUAAGAUUGUUGAAAUUCAUUCGAGAGAGGUUUAUACCAUGCUUGAAUCUUUUCAAGCACCAGAAGUCACAGUAGAGACGAGAUAUAAAACGGCUGAUAAGAAGGUAAAGCCUGUUGCCGGACCAUUACCAGAGGAUUCUAAAGAACAAAUGGGAGAAGCAUCAAAAGAAGCAAGUUUAAGAGAUCCAAUGAGUAUUGGACAUCAAUUUACUGAAGAGACUUUUGAAGAAUUGAAGAUUGGUUGUGAUGGUUCUUUAUUGCCGGAGGAAAUUACUUGCUUCAAAAAGAUGUUGGCUAAACAAGGUAGAUCGUUUGCCUUCGAAUCUCAUGAAAUUGGGUGUGUGGAUCCAAAUAUUAUAACACCUAUGGUUAUCUUCACUGUACCGCAUGUACCUUGGAAUCUAAGACCGAUUCGAGUAUCGAGGGCACAUUUACCUAAAUUGGUGGAACUAUUGAAAGAUAAGAUAAAGAUGAAAAUAUUAGAACCUUCAUUUGCGCCGUAUUCUAGUCGAUGGUUUACGGUACCUAAGAAGAAUGGGUCACUGUGGUUUAUUCAAGAUAUGCAGCCGGUGACAGCUGUAACUGUCAGGAAUGCAGGAAUUGGACCUAUUGUGGAUGAAUUUGCUGAGGCGUUUGCUGGAAGGGCGAUUUAUUCAAUGGGUGAUUUGUAUUCAGGUUAUGAUCAAUUUCAACUUACCGAAGGAAGUAGAGAUAUGACAACGAUGAGGACACCGCUUGGAUUGGUUAGAAUGUGCACUCUUCCUCAAGGCGCGACCAACUCAGUUGCGCAUAUGACCAGGUUUAGGGUUUAGAGUUUAGGGUUUAGGGUUACAAGGGUGUCCCCGGUUUUCGGGCAUCAUUAUUUUUGGAUUUUGACUUGACCUACCCCCCCAUUUAUGGUGUCUAGGAUGUCAAUGGUAUAAUUCUUUUCCUAUACAAGUUUAUAGUUUGGAAGAUUUAGCUACUUUGACUUGGAGUUUAGGGUUUUGACUUUUGUCAUACAAGGUUUUUUGAAAUUUUUGAAAAGUCCAUUGGAUUUGUUUGAGGGUUGCCAAUUCUAAAUAUGGGCUUGAAGUUUUGAAAAGGUGCAUAUAUUUGUAGGUAUUAAGUGUUUGACUAUUUUGACUUUUGAGUUGACUUUGCAU
rnacentral:lncRNA from 1 species